UUCCAGACUCCUACGGGAGGCAGCAGUGGGGGAUAUUGCACAAUGGGGGGAACCCUGAUGCAGCGACGCCGCGUGGGUGAAGAAGUAUUUCGGUAUGUAAAGCCCUAUCGGCAGGGAAGAAUUUAGACGGUACCUGACUAAGAAGCCCCGGCUAACUACGUGCCAGCAGCCGCGGGAAUACGUAGGGGGCAAGCGUUAUCCGGAUUCACUGGGUGUAAAGGGAGCGUAGACGGCCAUGCAAGCCUGGAGUGAAAGCCCGGGGCCCAACCCCGGGACUGCUCUGGGAUCUGUGCGGCUGGAGUGCGGGAGGGGCAGGCGGAAUUCCUGGUGUAGCGGUGAAAUGCGUAGAUAUCAGGAGGAACACCGGCGGCGAAGGCGGCCUGCUGGACAUUAACUGACGCUGAGGCGCGAAAGCGUGGGGAGCAAACAGGAUUAGAUACCCGCGUA
rnacentral:rRNA from 1 species